CUGAGUCUACAUGAAACGGGUGUGACUUUCUCAAAAGGUGACAGAUGACAUUCACAAGCUCAUAUCCUCCUGUGGACAAAUCCCCUCGAGGCUGCAAAGGCCUUCCCGGGGAAAUAAACUCUCUCCACCCGAGAUGGAUGUCAAAAUGCAAGUAAACUGCAAACCUGUUGAAACCAAUGAAGGGGGCACUGGGAAGAACCGAGAAGCCUUCACGGAGCCAGCCACCUAAAUCCUGCUCCAG